CAAAGCAGGACUAUUAUCCAAAGGGGCAAAGGGUGGUCUUCCCGAAACACACAUCUCAGGAAUUCCUAACAUGGACUAAUGACAGGUCAACCAGGAGCCACACCAACAGUAAUCUACUUUCAAUUUGUUUGGAUGUGUACAUUGCUCUGGAAUUCUCUGUCCUUAGGCCUAAAAUGAUUUAUGGAUCUAGAAACCUGGCAAAACUGUUCCAAUUAAGUGAUCACAUUUGUGGUGAUGUCCAAGGGUCUGCCCUCCUCCCCACACAGUCAGCAGUGUUUCCAGUCCACGUAAGAACAGGAAACCAGAUUAAGCUUUCUCAACGUUUCAGGGUGUCAUUCAUUUCAGCUCAUUCUUAGAAUGAAGAGAGCACAUUUGACAGGUCUACUAGCAGAGUUUAAGGGAGUCUGAGCUUUUAUCUCUCUGUCCCCCCUUGUGUUUCCGUUAGAGCUGGGUCUCUAUCACAGCCCACCUUUGGUCACUCUUGUCUGUAAUAAAGUGAUUACUGCUGAUCAGACCUUAACAGAACAAUGUGCUGCAAGCUGGUGCUGGACUGAGCAACAGACUGUCACAAAAGGAACCUGUUAUUUCUAUAACCUGUUAUAAGUAAGAUGCUUCCAUUUACAAAAACAAUUUAAAAUAAAAUGCAUAAGUAAUGUUUGUGGUUAAUGCUGUGUUAAUGCAGAUGUUU